rnacentral:rRNA from 1 species
CGCUGGCGGCAUGCCUAACACAUGCAAGUCGAACGAGAUUGUUACUUCGGUUUCAAUCUAGUGGCGCACGGGUGCGUAACGCGUGGGAAUCUACCCUUGGGUUCGGAAUAACAGUUAGAAAUGACUGCUAAUACCGGAUGAUGACGUAAGUCCAAAGAUUUAUCGCCCAGGGAUGAGCCCGCGUAGGAUUAGCUAGUUGGUGAGGUAAAGGCUCACCAAGGCUACGAUCCUUAGCUGGUCUGAGAGGAUGAUCAGCCACACUGGGACUGAGACACGGCCCAGACUCCUACGGGAGGCAGCAGUGGGGAAUAUUGGACAAUGGGGGCAACCCUGAUCCAGCAAUGCCGCGUGAGCGAUGAAGGCCUUAGGGUUGUAAAGCUCUUUUACCCGGGAUGAUAAUGACAGUACCGGGAGAAUAAGCCCCGGCUAACUCCGUGCCAGCAGCCGCGGUAAUACGGAGGGGGCUAGCGUUGUUCGGAAUUACUGGGCGUAAAGCGCACGUAGGCGGCGAUUUAAGUCAGAGGUGAAAGCCCGGGGCUCAACCCCGGAACUGCCUUUGAGACUGGAUUGCUUGAAUCACGGAGAGGUGGGUGGAAUUCCGAGUGUAGAGGUGAAAUUCGUAGAUAUUCGGAAGAACACCAGUGGCGAAGGCGGCCCACUGGACG